rnacentral:lncRNA from 1 species
CACAUCUCUCCCACGACACCAGUGACGGUCACCAUUCGAGAGUCCAGGCUGCCGGGCUGCUGGGGGGUGGUGAUAUUUAUCAAUAGGGUGCUGUACCUAUUAGAUCCAAGAUCUGUAGGGCCUACGGGGUGGAUAUGACCUGUAGGACGCUGACUGACUCACUCUACCUUCAUCUUCCUCAGACACUUCUGGCUACAGAACAGCACUGUGGAUGCACGAUCUCCUGGUGGAGUAUGAACCCUGAAACCAAGCGUCUGUGCCCCAGGACGAACCCAUGAUGGUCACAUACACAUGUGCACGCGUCCACACACAUGCACACGCACACGCACAGCCUCCUUGGCAAACAGGAAUCACACUUGCAACAAUCCUCCAGGACGUCUGACCUGCACUCCUCUCUGAACCUAAGCGUUCGUGCUGGAAAGCGCUCAGGGGUGGGCGUCAUUGAUUAG